UAUACCUAAACAGAAUGCUAAACUUGAGAUAUCUGCUUCAUGACUAAUGAAUUAUUAGCAAUUGAAUCUACCAAGACGGUCAUUUGAUUGCAGAACGUUUUAUUAAGCGGUUGUUGCUUUAUUUUUGGUUGUAAAAGUGCCAGUGUUUGAAAUGGGUAUUAUAUACAGCGUCAUCAAGCGAUUCUGGACCACUAAUAAUGUUUCAUGGUCUGACGACGACGACGACGAGGAUAUCAUAAUGGAAUUUGAAUCCUGCGACAGUUAUUACUCUGAUGAUGGUUAUUCUGAUGAGGAACGUCUAAUGACGCCCUCUGCACCCAGAGAAUCACCACUCGUGCAUGGAAGAAGUCAUUAAGAACAUACUUUCUUUUAAAAUAUAAUAGUAUUUUUAGUUUUAAUGUAUCUAAAUUUUUAAUUUCGUGUUGAAUAUUCCUUUAAAUUCACUGGUGGGUUAUUAUCUGGACCACGCUGUGAUUGGCGAAGUUUUGGAAGUCACAAUCACACAACUGUAUUUUCAUAAAUAGGAGUAUUGUUAGUUGCCUACUUAUAAAAGUUUUAAAAUGUGUGUAAAAAUUCAAUUUUUAAUUUAUUGUAGUAUUUUAUGGGUUGUAGUUGUGAAUAAAAUGGUUUAAUAUGA